UACGUAGGGUGCAAGCGUUAAUCGGAAUUACUGGGCGUAAAGCGUGCGUAGGUGGUUCGUUAAGUUGGAUGUGAAAUCCCCGGGCUCAACCUGGGAACUGCAUUCAAAACUGUCGAGCUAGAGUAUGGUAGAGGGUGGUGGAAUUUCCUGUGUAGCGGUGAAAUGCGUAGAUAUAGGAAGGAACACCAGUGGCGAAGGCGACCACCUGGACUGAUACUGACACUGAGGUGCGAAAGCGUGGGGAGCAAACAGG
rnacentral:rRNA from 1 species